GACGAACGCUGGCGGCGUGCUUAACACAUGCAAGUCGAACGGUGAAGGGACCGGUUUUUGCUGGUUCUGGAUGAGUGGCGAACGGGUGAGUAACACGUGAGUAACCUGCCCCCUUCUUCUGGAUAACCGCAUGAAAGUGUGGCUAAUACGGGAUAUUCUGCGCCUGCUGCAUGGUGGGUGUGGGAAAGAUAUUGUUUCGGUGGGGGAUGGGCUCGCGGCCUAUCAGCCUGUUGGUGGGGUGAUGGCCUACCAAGGCGGUGACGGGUAGCCGGCCUGAGAGGGUGGACGGUCACACUGGGACUGAGACACGGCCCAGACUCCUACGGGAGGCAGCAGGGGGGAAUAUUGCACAAUGGGCGCAAGCCUGAUGCAGCGACGCCGCGUGAGGGAUGGAGGCCUUCGGGUUGUAAACCUCUUUCGCCAGUGAAGCAGGCCUGUCCCUUUUGUGGGUGGGUUGACGGUAGCUGGAUAAGAAGCGCCGGCUAACUACGUG
rnacentral:rRNA from 1 species